GUGAUUCUCCUGCCUCAGCCUCCCAAGUAGCUGGGAUUACAGAUCUUGAGGUCUGCCUUCUGUGGAAGAGAAAUUCCAGAAUCAAUAAACUGAACUAGAGCCCUGGGAUUAUCAACAGCCAGCUGAAAUUUUGAGAGCCACCUUACAGAGAACCUAACAGCAAAGACUGGAGAGAGGCUUCCAGCCAACAGCCAGCAAGGAAUUGAAGCCCUCGGUCCAAUAGCAGCAGUGAGGAACUGAAUCCUGCCAACAGCCUCGUGGAUGCGUUGCUUGCUGCCUGACUCUAACUCCUGCUACUACUGCAAACACCACUGCCAUGAAUAUCUUCAGCAAGACCUCCUUCCAGACCUGCACGAACAGUUGCGUGAAAUGUAUAUGCACAAACGGAUUGCAACGGAAGACCUAGAGACUAGGGAAGAACUUGGAACAAUAAUCUCAGUUUCUUCAUUUCCUAAACUGAGAGUGUUGCUGUUUUUAAAUGAAGGCCGACUGAUUCACGCUGGGCUUCAGACAUGAGAGGUUAGGAGUAGGAGGCAUGCCUCGUUCAAAGAUUCUUGGCAGCACAGAGGCCACUGGAGAGAGGCAUAACCUUGCGUGGCAGCUGCACGGGAAUUGGAUUUGUCUCAGAUGUUUCAGAUGACUAAGGUGAGUGAUCAAGCUGGAUAUUUUUGCAUGACAACCAAAGUGUGAUGAGAAAGAAAGAAGAUUCAGUUGUGUAGAUGGUAAAGUUUUGUGUACCGUUUCAUCUUUUUAGUAUUGGAAUUGGGAUUUUUAGCUCUUGUUCAUAGUGCCAAUGCUGCUUAGUCUUUCUGAGACAUCAGGCAAAUUCUCUUUUUCCAUGUUUCAGAUUUCUCCUCUGUAUAAUAAGGGGCUUAGAUUCUGUGGUUUCUAAAAGAUCCUUCCAGUUCUAGAAAUGUCUGAUCCUACAAUAUAUUACCCCUUAGAAAUGAUUAGUUUAACUAAAAAACAUGUAAAUUUCUUAUCUUCAAAAUAAACACAUGCCUUUUCCACUACCCCCACUCCCCCACUUUGCGACAUGGAGGAGAUUGAGAAGAUGCUGUUUAGUGACAGACCAGAUUCCUUUGGAGACCAGGGAGUUGGGGGAGUACAAAUAUCAUAUUCAGGACAGGAAUUCAGACUUGAAUGCUGCAAGUCUUGCCUCUCAACUCUCCAUGCUCUAUCAAUACUAUUAUUUAUCCACUACUCAGGGUAGGAAAGAGAUCAGGUCAAGUAGCAUAUAAUAUCCUUCUUAUUCUCAUGCAGAUGUCUGAGGCUUCUUUCCCCUUUCAUCCAAUCUGAUUUGUAUGUCUUCUUGGUUAAUACCCCCAGAGUGCUCUAGGCUGCUUUCUGCCUAAAUAUCACAUAAAUCAAAGUGUGUAAUCUUGCAGGGGUGAGGAGAGGUGGAGAGUCAGCCAGGAUCGAGAUGCUAAGGACAGACGGAGCCAUCCCAUUUCCCUGCUUCCCAGACCUUGUUCUUGCCCUCCUGCAAAGCCUUAGGAAGGCCUCAUGGGAGGAGCUUGAACUCAUUCCCACCCACUCCUGAUGGUUCCAGCUACUCAACCUUUUACUAAAUGGCUCUGCACAGCUGUUUCUAGUUACGUGUCUAUUUACUUUGCUGGUGUACGUGUGCUUGUGUACCAUGUGUGCAUCUUAUCCCCUCAGUUUCCCAGCUACCCAAGGCCUCCAGUGAAUCCACAUGAGGUCAUUUAGAAUCCCGAGUGGAAACAAUCACAAAGCAACAUAAUGUUCAAAUUCAGGAAGCAUUUACAAAGGUUGUAUGCAUCUUCUCUGUCAUUCAUAAAGGCAAGGGAAGUUAGAAUUCAGGAAAUAAGAUGCAAAGACUCAUGAAUGUCUUCAGAUUCCAAAAGAGUAAACUUUACUACGGGAGUAAAACUAGGUUCUAAUCCUCUUGAAACAGACACUUUUUCCUUUUUUAAUCACCUAGAUGACAAAUGUAAGACUUAUCCCUGACUUCAUCCAUUCAUUUGUUCAUUCAUUAAUUCAACAAACAUUUAUUGAGUUUCUCCAUGUGCACUGGACUGCUCAAAGCUCUAUAGAAGAUACAGUAAUGUGCUUUGCUGCCUCUGAAUGGAGCAGGGUCCCUCCCAGCCUAUGGGCAUGGCUAAAUUUUAAAAGGAUUCUUCUGCUUGUCUUCAACUUCAAAGGUCAGUCUGAACAUGGAGUGAAAUCACCAGUGUCCCUGGCAGGAAGAGACCUUGUUCCACACCCAACACAUCAUCCUAAUAGUAGGCUUUUGACACAGUCCUAUUAAAUAAUGAAGCAUGUCUCUGUCUAACUUUAUAUAAUCAGUGCUCCAAAAUUCAGAAACUUUGCCUCUCAGAGGUCGAUCAGCAAGCUCAGUGAGUUCCUACAAACCAGCUUGUAAGGAAUUC